GCUUAACACAUGCAAGUCGAGGGGCAUCAGGAAGAAAGCUUGCUUUCUUUGCUGGCGACCGGCGCACGGGUGAGUAACACGUAUCCAACCUGCCCUUUACUCGGGGAUAGCCUUUCGAAAGAAAGAUUAAUACCCGAUAGCAUAAUGAUUCCGCAUGGUUUCAUUAUUAAAGGAUUCCGGUAAAGGAUGGGGAUGCGUUCCAUUAGGUUGUUGGUGGGGUAACGGCCCACCAAGCCUUCGAUGGAUAGGGGUUCUGAGAGGAAGGUCCCCCACAUUGGAACUGAGACACGGUCCAAACUCCUACGGGAGGCAGCAGUGAGGAAUAUUGGUCAAUGGGCGCUAGCCUGAACCAGCCAAGUAGCGUGAAGGAUGAAGGCUCUAUGGGUCGUAAACUUCUUUUAUAUAAGAAUAAAGUGCAGUAUGUAUACUGUUUUGUAUGUAUUAUAUGAAUAAGGAUCGGCUAACUCCGUGCCAGCAGCCGCGGUAAUACGGAGGAUCCGAGCGUUAUCCGGAUUUAUUGGGUUUAAAGGGAGCGUAGGUGGACUGGUAAGUCAGUUGUGAAAGUUUGCGGCUCAACCGUAAAAUUGCAGUUGAUACUGUCAGUCUUGAGUACAGUAGAGGUGGGCGGAAUUCGUGGUGUAGCGGUGAAAUGCUUAGAUAUCACGAAGAACUCCGAUUGCGAAGGCAGCUCACUGGACUGCAACUGACACUGAUGCUCGAAAGUGUGGGUAUCAAACAGGAUUAGAUACCCUGGUAGUCCACACAGUAAACGAUGAAUACUCGCUGUUUGCGAUAUACAGUAAGCGGCCAAGCGAAAGCAUUAAGUAUUCCACCUGGGGAGUACGCCGGCAACGGUGAAACUCAAAGGAAUUGACGGGGGCCCGCACAAGCGGAGGAACAUGUGGUUUAAUUCGAUGAUACGCGAGGAACCUUACCCGGGCUUAAAUUGCAGUGGAAUGAUGUGGAAACAUGUCAGUGAGCAAUCACCGCUGUGAAGGUGCCGCAUGGUUGUCGUCAGCUCGUGCCGUGAGGUGUCGGCUUAAGUGCCAUAACGAGCGCAACCCUUAUCUUUAGUUACUAACAGGUCAUGCUGAGGACUCUGGAGAGACUGCCGUCGUAAGAUGUGAGGAAGGUGGGGAUGACGUCAAAUCAGCACGGCCCUUACGUCCGGGGCUACACACGUGUUACAAUGGGGGGUACAGAAGGCAGCUAGCGGGUGACCGUAUGCUAAUCCCAAAAGCCUCUCUCAGUUCGGAUCGAAGUCUGCAACCCGACUUCGUGAAGCUGGAUUCGCUAGUAAUCGCGCAUCAGCCACGGCGCGGUGAAUACGUUCCCGGGCCUUGUACACACCGCCCGUCAAGCCAUGGGAGCCGGGGGUACCUGAAGUACGUAACCGCAAGGAUCGUCCUAGGGUAAAACUGGUGACUGGGGC
rnacentral:rRNA from 1 species